rnacentral:rRNA from 1 species
UACAGAGGGUGCAAGCGUUGUUCGGAAUUAUUGGGCGUAAAGGGUGCGUAGGCGGUGCGGUAAGUCUGUAGUGAAAUCUCUGGGCUCAACUCAGAGUCUGCUAUAGAAACUGCCGUGCUUGAGUGUGGGAGAGGUGAGUGGAAUUCCCGGUGUAGCGGUGAAAUGCGUAGAUAUCGUAAGGAAGACCAGUGGCGAAGGCGAAUCUCUGGACAGUUACUGACACUGAGGCACGAAGGCCAGGGGAGCAAACGGG